UGACAUUGACAACAUAUUUCAAGGUCACGAAAAUCGCUUGCCAAAUUCGCAAGAAGCAGCAGUGAUUUGGGUACGGGAACAUGAAUUGUUACGUACAACAAAAAUUGCCCAGUUCACCGGAAACCAAUGAAAUUAUAUGAAACAGAAUCCUCAAUCGGCCGAUUUCGUUGUACGUCUCGUAAAUGUCGGCAGUUUGCAGCCACGGUGAACUCAGUUUUUGAAGAAGUGCGUUUACCUUUACAUAAAGCGAUCAUGUAAGUUUCAAGUUGUUUUAUAUCAUUUUAAUAAAUAACUAACAUAUUCUUUAAAAUAUUUAAUAAAUUAUUAAACUUUUUAAGAUUGAUCUAUUGCUUUGCCCGCGAUUUUUCUUACAACGAUACCGCCCACGAACUGUCCGAUGUUACGCGGGAGAAUGACACUCAAACCGUAUCUUCCGCCACAAUCGCUGCAUGGUUUCAUUACUGCCGCGAAAUGAUUGUAGAUCAUUUUUCAAACAUGCAGGCGGAGAAACCGAAAUUAGGAGGAAUUUUGGAAUCCGGUUCGCGGAUCGUUGUACAGAUCGAUGAGGCAAAGUUCGGAAAAAGGAAAUACAAUCACGGAAGAAUUUUAGAAGAACACUGGGUGUUAGGAAUGGUAGAUACUGGCAGUAAGGAUUGCCGAAUGAUUGUAGUUCCAAAUCGAGAAGCCGCAACAGUAAAUAAUAUUAUAAAGGAACACGUUGUUCCUGGCAGCGAAAUUCAUACGGAUAGUUUUCGCAGCUACGCCGGACUUUCAGAAGCAGGAUUGAUUCAUAAAUCUGUUAAUCACAUAUAAAGCAUAGAAUUUGUAGCUAGUGAUGGGACUCAUCCGCAGCAAAUAGAGUCAAAUUGAUGGCCGGCGAAGGACUGGAUGAGGGGGAGGGAUCGUUUUCACGACGAGGAAUUUGCUGAUCGUUUAUGCGAAUAUCUGUGGCAACGGUUUUGCUGUCAAACCAAAAUAGAUCUCAUGGGAUCAAUCAUGGAAGCGAUUCGGAAACAAUAUGUUUUUAAUUAAGGUACACCGGCCGAGUGAAGAAUUGUGCUGUGCUGGAGCAGCCUUACAUACUCAACUGGAGGGAGAAAUAUAUUCGUGCAAUUCGCCAGUAUAGAGAAGAGGGACGACCCAUAUAUUAUUUGGAUGAGACAUGGGUAAAUACUGGCGAUUGUCAAAACAAAAUCUGGAGGGAUUUAAAUGUGGUAUCGGUACAAGACGCGGUACCAGCUCCCACAGGAAGGGGGAAAAGGCUUAUCGUGCUACACAUUGGGUCAGCCGAUGGUUUUUUACCUGGGGGACUGCUGUGUUUUGAAUCGAAGACCAACACAGCAGAUUACCACGACGAAAUGAACGGAGAUACGUUCUUCGAGUGGUUUUGCCGGAUCGAGCCCUUAUUAAAAGAAAAUGCUGUAGUGGUUAUGGACAAUGCGCCAUACCACAGCCGAAAAUUAGAGAUGAGACCGUCAUCGACGUGGAGAAAACAGCAAUUAAAGGAGUGGCUUAUAUCAAAAGGCCAUCAUGUGCCUGAUACUUGUGCCAGGAGCACAUUACUCCAAAUGGCACGCUCAGUGCAAACAGAACAAAAAUACGUGGUCGAUGAAUAUGCCAGAGAGCAUAAUAAAACAAUUUUACGCCUGCCGCCGUACCACUGCGAACUCAACCCCAUUGAGCUUGCGUGGGCAUCAGUGAAGAAUUACGUGAAAUCCAGGAACACAGAAUAUAAUAUGCCACAGGUCAAACAACUGUUAACGGAAGGGAUUGAAGGAGUAACAUCGGAGAUGUGGAAAAAUUUCAUUCGCCACACCAUCGGCAUUGAGCAGAAGCUCAUGGAUAUGGAUCAUUUCUCCCAAGGUACUCUGGAAAUGCCUACCAUUGGCAGUGAUGUGGACAUGUCUGAUACUGAUGUUAGCGACUAAUAUUGAUACCACCCCUUCAGACAUAGAAGACUUUCAUUCCAAUUUUGGUAAGUACGAUUUUCAUAUCACUAAUACAAAAAUUGUAAUCAUUCACUCCAACUUUUUUUCCGGUAAUAAUCUACGUUCCUGUUCACCUGUUUAAAUUAAUUUAUAUGGGAUGAAUGGAUGCAUCGAAGAGAAAGAAGAAACUUCUACAUAUUUCAAAUUUUGGUGAGUACAAUUUCCAUAUAACUAGUACAAAGAUUGUGAUCAUUCAGUCGAACUUUUUUAAGAACUGAAAUACUAAUUACUUUUCUUUUUUUUGGUAAUAAUCUACAUUCCUGUCAACCUGCUGCAAGGAACUUACACAAGAUGAAAGGAUAUAGAGAAGAAGCCCGGAAAAAGCUUAACCCUUGGACUACGCCUUGUCAUUAUCAUCCAAUGGACUUUAAUAUCAUAGACGAAGACACAUUGUACUUCCCUUUAAAUAAAAAUAAUUAAUAAAUGAUAUGUUUAUUGUAUACGUAUUUUCAUGAUAUACCUCUUAUAUUCCUUUAUUACUCCUUCAUUUUUUCACAUUUAUUUAAUUUUUGUAAAUUGUAUAAAAAAAGUUUAAUAUGAUACACUAUUUAAUUUCGAUUUUGUACUGCUUAUAGCUGUUGAGUUUAUUAAACAACUUGAGCCAAAACAAAAAAAAAGGAAUCUGUUAAAUUAGUUUGAUUCUAAGAACCUCUCGAUCGUCACCCUUCUAAUAAUUCUCUUUCAAAUAAGCUCUCGGAUUUCCGAACUGUUUAUAAGAGCAGAUAAAACCGUCGGACUGCCCAACGGUUUUCUUACCAAGGUUCAGUUUGGUUGCAUCUUUCAAAGUAUU